AUUGAACGCUGGCGGCAGGCCUAACACAUGCAAGUCGAACGAGUGGCGGACGGGUGAGUAAUGUCUGGGAAACUGCCUGAUGGAGGGGGAUAACUACUGGAAACGGUAGCUAAUACCGCAUACCAUCAGAUGUGCCCAGAGGGGAUUAGCGAGUUUGUGGGGUAAAGGCUCACCAAGGCGACGAUCCCUAGCUGGUCUGAGAGGAGGACCAGCCACACUGGCACUGAGACACGGUCAAGACUCCGACGGGAGGCAGCAGUGGGGAAUAGUGCACAAUGGGCGCAAGCCUGAGGCAGCCAUGCCGCGUGUAUGAAGAAGGCCUUCGGGUUGUAAAGUACUUUCAGCGGGGAGGCGUUACCCGCAGAAGAAGCACCGGCUAACUCCGUGCCAGCAGCCGCGGUAAUUC
rnacentral:rRNA from 1 species